CAGGGGUCCAGGUUAGUUGACACUGUUGGGGUUGCCAUCUCCUUGGGGGCCUUCAAUCCUUCCCCCAAGUCUUCCAUAGGGGUCCAUGACCUUUGCCCAGUGUUUUUCUGUGAGUAUCUGCAUCUGUCUCAGUCUGCUGCCAGGUAGAGUCUGAGAAGGCUGCUAUACUAGGCUCCUGUCUGCAAGCACAACAUAGGAUCAUUAAUAGUAUGGAGAAUCAGUGCCUGCCCAUGGGAUGGGACUAUCAUUGGUCUGCCAUUCCUUCAGUCUCUGCUCCAUUUUUGUCCCUGCAUUUUUUUUGUUUGUUUGUUUAGACAGGACCAAUUUUGGGUCUACAGAUUUGUAGGUGGAUUUGUCCCCAUCCCUCCACUUGGGGUUCUGUCUGUCUCCUGGCGGUGGUCUCUCCAGGUUCUGUAUUCCCACCGUUAGGUAUUUUAGCUAAAGUCACCUUCAUUGACUCCCGGGAGUCUCCCUCAUCCAGGGUCCCUGGGACUUUCUAGAGAAUCCCCCUACUACCCCACUGAAUAUUUUCAUUCAUUCUCCUGACCCUCUGGGCCUCUCUCCUAUCUCUCCCCAUGCCUGAUCCUGCUCUCCCCCUAUCCCCCAGUACUCUCCUCUCCCACCCAGGUCUCUUUUGUGCCUCUUAUGACUAUUUUGUUCCUCUAAGUGGGAUUCAUGCCUCCUCACUUGGGCCUUCCUUCUUGUUUAGCUUCUUUGGGUCUGUGUAGUGUAUCAUGGGUAUUCUGAACUUUUUGGCUAAUAUGCACUUACCAGUGAGUAUAUACUUUGCAUAUCCUUCUGGGUCUGGGUUCUCUCACUCAGGAUAAUAUUUUCUAGUUCCAUCCAUUUGCCUGAGAAAUUCAUGAAUGAUGUCCUUGUUUUUUUAAUAGCUUAAUAGUAUUCCAUUGUAUAAAUGAACCACAUUUUCUGUAUCCAUUCUCUGGUUGAGGGACAUCUGGUUUUCUUCCAGUUUCUGGCCAUUAUGAAUAAAGCUGCUAUGAACGUAGUGGAGCAUGUGUCCUUGUGGUACAGUGGGGCAUCUUUUGGGUAUAAGCCCAGGAGCAGUAUAGCUGGGUCUUCAGGUAGGUCUAUUUCCAGUUUUCUGAGAAACCACCAGAUUUCCAGAGGGGUUUUACAAGUUUCAAUCUGUCUGUCUUUUCUUCAUUCCUUUCUGCCUCAGGCAGGUCUGUCCCUCCAACUGUGCAAGCUUGUGGUGGAUGAGUUUGUGAGAUCUGUGUUUUUGAGCCUUCUGGACCUUGAGUCUGACAUGCUACAGAUAGAAUGUGAAGCAUUUGGGUUCCCAACUUGUUGCCAGUGCACCACACCACCUCACAGCCGCAGGACGUGGCAUCUGGUACCUACCCUUUGAAAUUCCAAGUUACACACAUCCUUUAGGGGCAGAUGCAAAGAAAGAUGUCUCUAUGUGUGAAUGCCCUAGAUGUUGAAAAGGGGUUUCAAAAUGAGGCCCUUGAAAAGAAAGCACAAGCAAGAACACUUUCUUACGGCAACAAAGCCAUGCUUGGUGGUGGGGAAAAGAAAAAAAUAAUUAUAAAGAUUUCCAGAUAGGAGAACAAAGGGUGGGAGAAACCUUUUCCUUUCAGAUUUAAUUCUAGAGACAUUAUCCUUUCAACGAGGAAUUUAAAAAUAGUUCUUGUUCUGUUGAUGGUUCUUUUAAACCCAUCACCACCCCUUCAGAUCUUACAGGAGUCACUAAGAAUGGUAAAGUGUUCCCAGCCCCAGAAUCAACACACACACUGUAAAAAAAAUAAAUAAAUAAAAACAAUUAAAAAAGCUGUAUGUACUCUAAUGGAAACAGACCUGAACACCAAAUUGUAUCUGUGCUAAGAUCACAACUAAAAAUUCUGCCUGCAUAUGGACAGGGACUGCAAAGGAACAGGGGAAAACUGUCAACAGUUUGGUUUGUAGGAUGGCAGAAUUUUUGGGCGAACUUUUCCUUUUUUAAAAAUUUGAGUUUUGUUAAUGUUUUUGUAAUGUUUGUAAUAAACAAAACUGUAACAGAGGCAGCCGAACCUGCUGACUAACGAUUGUUAGAAAGAGCUGCUUUGCAUUAGCUCUGUCAGAGCUGUGACUGCUGCCUGAGGCCGACGCUCUCCAGUGCUCCAGUUGAUGACGUCAGAUAACCUUGGCCGUGAAGUCAGCUCCUUCCAGUCCAUUUGAAGAUACUUUUUUUUUUUUCACCACAGCUAACUCAUUCUGACAGACACAACAGGAAUGAGUUCAACUGAGGCCAUAAUGAGGAUUUUUGGGUGAUUUUGUUGUUUGAAUUUGAAAAAUUUUAAUGUGGUUGAUUGGCCACACUCAACUCAAGAAAGGCAUAAGAUGAAAUCAUCUCCCAGGUUCCGUGAAGAGUGUUUGUCAAAGCGUGGGAGUACUCUGGAAUCCAUCUUGAGGGAAGCAUUGGCGCCUGUGAGAACCCCUGCAGCUUGCCUCUGUGCAGAAAUAUGGUGGCAAGAGCGCAAGUCAGGUUCGCAGAGACGAGCCAGUGGCAUGCCAGCCUCGCUUCCUGCACAUCUGCUCUUUCAAGCAUGUGCAUAAUCAACAGAGCAGACGACCGGCACUUCAGGCACUUGUCACAGAUUCCCAUCCUGAAGUGCCUUGUGUCUGUGUGCCCUCCAAAGGCUCACCUGAGAUGCAGGAGGCAGCAGGGAGACCAUUUAAUAGACAGUCUCCAUUCUGUAUCUCUGCACUAAUCUCCACUGUAGUCAUUUGGUGUAGUGUCAGGAAGUAAGACCCGCGAUCGUCUGUCUCUGUCCCUGGCAGAGAGGCUCUCAUGGAGCUACACGUUAGUAUUAUAUAGUAUUAUCUCUGAACCUCUUUGAGAAUCAGUGUAGAAAUUGUCCUUUGGUAUAAAUAACCCCCUUUCCCUGUUUCCAAAUAGGAUUGCUGUGGCUGUUUUACAUUGUGUCACCUAAAAAUCUAUCCUUUAAAAAAUGAUGUGAAGGCUGGGUUUGGUGGUCCACACUUUUAAUCUCCUCACUGGGGAUGCAGAGAUAGCUGGAUCUCUAUGAGUUCAAGGCCAGCCUGUUCUACAUAGGGAAUUCCAGCUCAGCCAGGGAUAUGUAGUAAGACCUUGCCUUUUUGUUUAAAAAAAGAAAGAAAGAAAGAAAGAGAGAGAGAGAGGGAGAGAGAGAGAGAGAGAGAGAGAAAAGAAAAAGAAAAAAGAAAAAAGAAAAAGGAAAAGGAAAAGUAAAAGGAAAAGAAAAAGAAAAAGAAAAAAAAAGGAUAACAAGUUCCUUCUAAAUUGAGGGCAUUGGCUUGUUAAAUUGUGUUUGUCUUCAUGCUUCACUUACUGUGAAACUCACACUUAACUCUCCUUCCCUUCUGAGGACAGCUUCUCUUGUAGAGAAACUGUUGUGCUCAGGUAGAGCAUCAGGGCAGAAGGAGGAAGAGCCCAUUGAGGCCUUUUUAGUUGCUAUGCAUACUCUGGCCUAGGAGAUAUGUUUUUUUCAACUCUAAUGAUCUCAUUAGAAUUUUUUUUCUCCAAGAAUUUGUUGUUCCUAAAGUGCUAGAUUUUUGUAAAGGAAAAAAUGCAUUUCAUUUCCUAUAUAUAUAUCAAAAUUAAUUACUCAUCGGUAUAACUAUUCAUUAAAAUUUAAAAUUAGAUAAGGAUGUUCUUCGUGGAUUUUUGAGUCUUGAAGAGAUUCAUUUUAUUAUAGCAUCUAGAGCAUUACUAUUUAAGGAAAUCAUGACAUAAGGUUCACAACUGAAUUAAAGUCAAUACCUUCAGCCAAAUCCCAGGAAGAAAUUAGUGAAUGAUGGUAGGUAGGCAUCGUGAAGGAAAGCCGUGAACAACUGUGAAGAAUCUGUGGAGAACCGUUUCUGUGUCUCACCUCUAUAAACACACUGGGAACAGAAUUCAUUCAUUUACUCUUUCAUUCAUUCAACACGAAGUCCUAAUAUCAUGUAGAGAUCAUUUUAGGUGCCUAGAAUACUCCAAACAGAACAGGUUGACCCCACUCUUUGUCCUCACAGAAUGUGUGUUUUAGUGAGGGAAGACAGUCAAUAAUGAAAAUAAAUUAAGAAUUAUAUGGCAUGACAGUUGGUGUUCAUUGCUAUGGAGAAAAGUCAAGUAGGUGAGGGAGAGGAUGAAUGGCGUGGGGGUGGAACUUGCUAUUUUAAACAUCGUGAUCAGUUUGCAUCUGAGCAGAGAUCGGAAGGAGAGACACGAGUGUCUCCAGAAAGCGUUUCUACACCAAGGGAACAGUUUGUGCAAAAAUUGUAAAGCAGGUGUAUGCUUGAUGCAUUUGAGGAAGGCAGGAAGACAGGUACGGCAGGAGCAGAGUUGUGAGGUGGCCUCAGGAGUUCAUUCUCCUCCUUCCUCUCUGUUCUGUGUACCACACAUCUCGGUGAGCAUCCCCUCCAGCACUGUGUUUACAAAUCUCAUCAGUCUAUAGCGUCCUCCUAAAUUAGACCAUCAAACCCUUGAGGGCUGGGAUGCAUUAUCGUCUGCAUUGCCAGAAGCACUGCACACAGGCUGUGUACAUGGUGUAGAACCAGUACUCAGAGAAGAAUUGCUGGUUGGGAAACUUUGCUUCUAAGGCAUCCAUCUUUCUCCAAACCACAAACACACCACUGAAAUGGGAAACUCAUGCUCAGCUUAACCCUUUAGAGUGACCGAGUUAACAGAGCUAGGUCCAAUCUUGAUAUUCUCGGGGAAUGGAGUGUUAAAUGAGGAGAAGAAAGUGUGCCUACAUCACACCUUUCUCCAUGGUGAGUUUAUUUAUGUAUGAAGUCCAACCAACAAGUCUAAAGCAUAUACCCAUUGAGUAGUGUGAUAUUAGAAUAUUAAGAAUGUCACAUUGGUGACUUCAAAGGAUGGAAAAGCAUGGGACACUAUCAAAUAUCAGUCCUGUUUUCCUAAAGUGCUUCUAAUAAUGAGAGAAUCACAUUAAUUUAUGUCUAUUAUGUGAAUAGACUUCACAGGCAUUUCAAUGAGUUCCUUGUCACAGUAAGCUAGAGGUUUAAUAAUACAUCUCCAUCCAUUCACCCAUCCAUCCAUCCACCCACCCAUCCACCCAACCAACAAACAUAAUGAAUACAUACUUUGGAGUAAGCACUAUAAAAGUUCAGUGAAGGAUUAUGAACUUCAGAGGCUCACAACUGAAUCAAAGAACUAAUCUAACAAUAUAGUAUUCUUUGCUGAAUUCUUUUUUUUAGAAGUUUAAACUCAUAAAGCAAUUUGAUUUUUAUUUAUAUGUACAUCAGAUCACCUGGAACUUAGCUUACAUGGGUUUGUGAGCUACCCAACAUGAGUGCAGGGAAUCAAACUACAGGCACCUGAAAGUUUGCUGAAUUCUUUACAUUGGCAAAACAGACUAUUCCUGUAGAAUGAGCCUCAACAGGAAAUGGCAGCAAGUUUCUUGGAAAGCUGUAAGAGCUUCUCUCUGUGUGUGUAUGUAUGUGCAUAGUUUUGUGUAUGUCUGUGUGUGUAUGUGCGUAGUUUGUGUGCAUAUAUGUUUGUCUCUGUGUGUAUGUAUGUGUGUGUUUGUGUAUAUGUGCAUAUUUGUUUGUGUGUACAUGUGUGUGUUUGUGUGUAUUUGUUUAUUCCUGUGUGUAUGUUUGUUUGUCUGUGUUUUUUUGGUGUCUGCGUUUUUCUGUUUGUCUGUAUGUUUGUGUGUAUAUGUAUGUACUUGUGUGUGUGUUUGUCUCUCCUUGUGUGUUUGUCUGUGUGUGUGUGCUUGUGUUUUUCUAUGUCUGUGUGUGUUUGUGUGUAUGUUUGUGUGUUUCCUUCUCACUUCCUGCCCCUGUCACGAGGCAAUUUCUUUUCCUCUGCUCUUUUUCCGUUCUACCUGCUCACAGCAGUAAGUUUUUUAUUGUAGUGUUUUACGGUCUGCUCUGCCUGACAUAGACCCUUCAAGGGCAGAGGUUGUAUCAUGUUCAUUGGUAUCCUUACAGUUUCCAACAUAGGUCAAAAGAAGUUAGCAGACUUAAGAGAAUCUCGAAGAAUGAGUUGAAAAUGUAUAGGCCAAGCAGGAUAAAACAUCCAAGAGGGAGCUCAGAAGGAGGUGAGUGCUGUAGUGGAGGAACCCCGGUGAGAGAGUGGAAGUUGUCUUAGGAAUGGUGCAGGGCAUGUUGAUGGAUCCAUUGAAAGCAGUCACAUGAAAACACUUAAUCAAAGGAAAAUCACUUGAAAAACUACUUACAAUAUGUGACACAGUACCCCCAGGUCUACAUGUGACACAGUACCCCCAGGUCUACAUGUGACACAGCAUGCCCAGGUCUCAGCCUGGUCGACAAGCUUCACCUGCCUCAUCUAUGGUUUUGUUGGCUUCCCUUUGAAGGUUCAUAAGGCAAAUUUGAAUUCUAGUUCUAGUCUCAACAUGUUCAAUUGUUAUUGUUUAUGUUGCAAAGUUCUUUAUUCAAAUGACCCAACUUCAUCCACUUUCAGAAGGAUUCCAUGAGAAAUUAGAUUUUUAUUUUUUUACCCAAUCACCUAGUGACCAGAUUCAAUUCCCAUCCAUCUAGUUUCUAGGCCAGAAAUCUGGACUUUAUCCUUUUGUUUUUCUUAUAGUGCUACAGCCAAAAGGAAUCUCAGCUUUAUUCCUUUGUCUUUAUUUAUAUAUAGCCUAAGUUCAAGUAAUUUUUAUCUGUCCUAUAAUUGCAAGAGCUACUAAUGAACUGGUCUCCUGAUUUGUAUUCUCCUUUCCCUCCUCCCUCUCACUCUCUAGACAGACCAAUCUGGCAACUGCGGUGAUAUCUCUUUCCAUAUAAAAUGGAAAGCUUGUGAUAAAACUCGAAUCCCGUAAACCUUAAUCAUUUUUCAGGGCCCAGUUCAGUAGCAUCGAGUACAUUCAUAUUGUUAGCCAGUUAUUACCACUGUAUCAAACUAUGACCACAUUCAACGGUAAUUCCUCUGGCUCUAAAAAUUACAAUUUGACUCAGUCUUGGAGUUAAAAUUUUUUACAUAUAAGUAAAAUCAUACAACACUUUUUUUUUUCGUAGUUGGCUUAUUUCAUUAACACAAUGUUCUCAAGGUUUGUCUGUGUUGGAGAAUAGACUAUAUAAUUCCCUUCCUUACUAAGACCAAAUGGUAGUUGAGUGUGUGUGUGUGUGUGUGUGUGUGUGUGUGUGUGUGCACGCGCGCGUACCCUGUCUUGUCUGUCCAUUCACACAGCAGUGCAGCCACAGGACUACUUAAACCAUCACUCACAGGUUUACAGAAACAUGUUUUCAUUGUUCUCUCUAUGACAAAACCCUCACUGACCCUAUAGCUUUCACCCUAUUUAUUCUUCUCAUUCACUUUCCACUUGAUGUUGCCACAGACUUUGUCAUGACUGGAUCUCUCCCCGAAGGUUCUUCUUUGGUUUAUAAUGUUUUUUAUUUGUAUUUUAUUUUCCCAGGAUAAGUCCAACUUGCAGUUCAGACUCUGUUUCAGAUGUCAUCUUCCCCAGGGGGCUUUCCCCACCCCACCCCCUGGGUUAGGUAUCUCCCUUUUGUGCUUCUAGAACAUAUAUUUCUACCAAUAUAUCUGGAGAGUACCCAGAGGCUGGCAUAUCUGGACAUUCAAAAAAGAGUUUUGUUGUUGAGUGAAUGAAGGAAUAAUGGGAUGGAAAGCAGGAACAGCCGUGGACAAGGAACAAGUUACCAAGGAGACCUGCUUUCCGAGGACGCGAUGGCAGCGAAGCAGAGAGCCUUCAGGUGUGGAGAAGAUUUUUAUUUUUCUCUGGGGAGAAAAAAAAUAUCCCUAGAGGAAAAAAAAAAAAAAAACACACAACUCCAAAGGCCAUUCAGAUAGCAUCCUGCCUCCUCUGGGUCACAGUGCGUCCCAAGGAGUGGAUCAGCUGAGUCAGACUUUCCCGGAGGCAGAACAGCGUGGUUAAAAGACUGCAGCCAUCAGUGAUUCCAGCUUACUGCUUGCGUGGGGGUGGCGUACCUCUUCUUCCGGAGUGUGAACUUUUCUUUCACUACCCUGGUCCAGAAGCACAUUCAUGGAAGGGUAUGUUCACUGUUUUCAGAGUAAAGACCCUCAUCGAAAGGGUCACAUCGUCAAGUCUCACCUUCAGAAACAGCCUCAAAAUUCGGGCUUUUGAUAUUCUUUCCAAAUGGGCUUAGAUAUACACUGGCUCUGAUUGAAAACAAAACCAAGUCACACUUGACUCGAAACUUGUGCCCCUUGACAGGGUGACUGUAUUGGGUGCUGUGAAUUUUGUAAUUUAUACACUUGUGUAUAUCCAUGCUUCUGUCAUUAUGUAACAAUGUAUCUAUUCAUAUUAACUAUUUAGGAUCUAUCCUAGAUUUUGUAAUGCAGUUUGGACAUUUCUUCAUUUCCUAAAAUACUGAUGUUCUCAGAACCUGGACCCGAUCUGACCUAUCUGUGACCCCAAGCCUGACCUUCUCUACCACUGAGCAUCCCCAGGGACAGAAGCCAGGACUAUGGAGAUGUUCCCUCUCAGUGGACGGGUGCAUAUCCUUAAACUUAUUCGUGCUGCGAACUCUCCCAGGCAGCUUGUUAGAAUCUCUGCCCAGACCUAGUCUCUUGGCUCAGGGAGUCUGGGACUAUUCUUUGGAAAAUACUGCAACAGAUUGUAGAGGGAAUUGUUGGGAGAAGUCAAAGAGGGAGAGAGGCCUCCUUUGGGAAACAAUACUGAUUCUCUCUGGGAGUGGUGAGGAUUCUGUCUGCCAUGGGGAAAUUUCACCUACUAAGAUCAAUAAAGAACAAAGGGACCUGGUGUGAGAGAGAAGGCAGGUGGCAGGGGAUAUCAUUUCCCCAGGACACUGGGGACACAUUUGAAGAAGCAGUCUGUGAGGGUGAGCAGCUAUAUCAGGGGGCUGUAGGAGAGAGGUGGCCUUUGGGGACCUCACUGUGGGAAAUCAUGAAGCCUCAGGGUAGAGCUACAUACUAGGAAGUGGAAGAUCUGUGGAGCCUGGUGUAGGAAGCAGCCCACACUUACCCACCAUCUUUUGUAACAACAAACAGUAGUAUUCAGCUGCAGUUGCUUACACGUGUGUGCAUACUGGAGACCGACUUCUAGAAGACUGACUUUUUUUUUUAACAAAGAAGAAAUAUUAACAGUUCUUAGAGAAGGGAGGGAGCUAUCCUGAGUAUGUGGAAAGGACUGUUUUUAUAGAUUUCUGAGCUAAGUGGAGGGUGGUAUCUCUCUGCAAGUCAACUGUGCCUGCCAUCCCCAAUACUGCUGCUGGGAGGGGACGUUUUAUAUGUGUAAAGAUGGAGAGAUAUGCACUUAGGCUUCAUUUCCAUGGUCCACUGAUCCCUCACAGAACUAUCGGUAGAUCCAACGCUCUUCCAUCUCAUGUUUUUGUACAUUCCAAAACUUGUCACAAAGCCGUUCCUAUGGGCACAGAAACUCGUCUGCUUUCUGUAUGACUGAGUAGCUAUCGGGUUCUCAUUGGUUCUAAAUAUCAACGGUUUCUGUUACACAAAAUUUUCUCGACUUUAAAUUUCAUGUCUUGAGCUUUCACUAAUGAUAGCAACUGUGCUCCAUAUUUUGGAGAUUUCUGCCUAGCAACCUGACUGGGAGCCAUUUGAGCAAGCAUCACAGUCCUCGAGCUUUCUGGACGGCAACGCUCUAUUGUUUCCUGACUUCCGCAAAUUAUCCAGGGUUUCGUUCCCCUCCUUUAUAACAGUGGCAAAGUCAUAACAACUCAAUUGCUAUUUUGCUUCCUUUGUUUCUGUCCCAGGUGAGGGUUCCCAAGGUAUAUAUUAAAAAAAAAAGACAAAAUAAAUAUUGCUUGCAGAA